rnacentral:rRNA from 1 species
CCCUUAGAUGUUCUGGGCCGCACGCGCGCUACACUGACGAUGGCAACGAGUUUUUCCUUCGCCGAAAGGUGUGGGUAAUCUUUUGAAACAUCGUCGUGCUGGGGAUAGAUCAUUGCAAUUUUUGAUCUUGAACGAGGAAUUCCUAGUAAGCGCGAGUCAUCAGCUCGCGUUGAUUACGUCCCUGCCCUUUGUACACACCGCCCGUCGCUCCUACCGAUUGGGUGAUCCGGUGAAUUAUUCGGACUGGCGAGGGGUCUCGGCUUCCUUGCUGGAAAGUUUUGUGAACCUUAUCACCUAGAGGAAGGAGAAGUCGUAACA